AUUAAAGUAGUUUUACAAAAGUAAUAUGUCAUUUUUACUGACAACUUCAAACGGUGCGCGCAAAAAUAAGUAGACAAACAAGUUGUGCAGAAAAUUGUCAACGGAUUUUUUUUUCCUUUUUCUGUUUUCACCAUUUCUGGGAUUUGAAUGUCGCUUAUUGGGCUAAGUUUUCACCUUUGUAAAUCAAAACAAUCAAAGUGACUACAUAAUAAUAUCUACAUAAGUAUGUAUUCCAUAUUUAACCACAUACAAAGGUGUAUUUGCAAUAUACUGCCGCAGAAACUAUUAUCGGAUCUUGUGUCCAUACUGAGCAAAACGAAGUCGAGACAAUAGAAAUAAAUGAAAAGUAUUUCUCUUUACCACUAUACAAAGAGAGAAAUGGAACAUAUAACGUAACUCUUAAUAUCACUACCGAUACAAAAAAGUAGUCUGGAAAAAGCAGAACUAACGGCGUGGUUAUUCAAGCCAAUAAUAUCAAUAUUAUCGGGAAUAGGCCAGCAAUUGUACAUUUGUAAAAUACUUUCCUUUGUCUACCUACUUCUGCGGCUCUUGUUAUUUUCAGGUUGAAGAAAUCUCACGAUAAGGAGUCACCCAAUCAGAAAUCUCAUUUUGUACCGAAGGCGUUGCCAAUUCUCGUUGUGCUUCUGGUAUGUUCCACUGUCAGUUUAUAUAGCCGUAUAAACUAUGCAGCGAUAAAAGUUGGGGCCAUGUGUAGAAGUUCACGCAAGUUAGGAAAGUUUUUGACCGAGGAGUAGCCAGGAACGUUUGCAGGUGAGCUAAAGAGCUUGGGACCCACCACAAAAAAAC